rnacentral:rRNA from 1 species
UGAGAGUGGGUAGUCCGCACGAGCGCACCCUAUCCUUAGUUGCCAGCACAUUAUGGUGGGGACUCUAAGGAGACUGCCUGGGAUAACCAGGAGGAAGGUGGGGAUGAUGUCAAGUCAGUAUGUCCCUUAUGUCCAGGGCUACACACGUGUUACAAUGGUCGGUACAGGGGGCAGCUAAGCCGCAAGGUGGAGCCAAUCCCCCAAAACCAACCCCAGUUCGGAUUGGAGCCUGCAACUCGACUCCAUGAAGCAGGAAUCGCUAGUAAUCGUGGAUCAGCGUGCCACGGUGAAUACGUUCCCGGGUCUUGUACACACCGCCCGUCACACCAUGGGAGUUGGUUCUACCUUAAGGCAAAGCUUAAAACCUUUGACCACGGUAUAGUCAGCGACUGGGGUGAAGUCGUAACAAGGUAGCCGUAGGGGAACCUGCGGCUGGAUUACCUCCUUUCU